UACGUAGGGUGCAAGCGUUAUCCGGAAUUAUUGGGCGUAAAGCGUGCGUAGGCGGUUCGUUAAGUCAGCUGUGAAAGCCCCCGGGCUCAACCUGGGAACUGCGGUUGAAACUGGCGAACUAGAAUCUGGCAGAGGGGGGGUGGAAUUCCACGUGUAGCAGUGAAAUGCGUAGAGAUGUGGAGGAACACCGAUGGCGAAGGCAGCCCCCUGGGCUGAGAUUGACGCUCAGGCACGAAAGCGUGGGGAGCAAACAGG
rnacentral:rRNA from 1 species